rnacentral:lncRNA from 12 species
UAACCACCGUUUCCACCCCCCCUCCACCCCACCACGAAACCAAACAGAAUAUUCGCCUGGUGCAAAAGAUCCUUUUGCUCACACUGGAAGAGAAGUUACCCACGGGCUGGUAUCUGUUUCCGUGGAAACCAAAAAUAAAUAUUGAUACGGCGUUAAUGGUCUGUGUCUCACUUAAGCUCCAUUAAACUUCGAGCACUUGCAAGAAAACAGCCCAUUGACGGCCCAGCUGAGGGAGAAGGAAGAGGCUUUAUAAAAAGCAACAGUGUGGAAGGCACAUGGGGUGCAGGCAGCAUUUCUGAGCGCCUCUCAGCCAGGGAGCCCUUUAUGGAAUUCUUUCAGCCAGGGAGACCUACUUCCACGCACUCCACGUGGCUGGUUAAGAUGCUAGCCCUGCUUGGAUGGGUUUUUGCGAACCUGUCCUUUUUAUAAAGGAUCGCUGUGUGUUUUGGAAAGCUUAUCUGCAGACAACAACAUUUUCCAGGAACCCACAUGUCCAAAGCACAGUGAACAAAUGAACUGAGCAUCCAAAUUAGAAUAUUUCUUUCUGUACCACAUUUCCCAAAGCAUUUCAAGUGCAGACAACCGAGGUCAGUAUUGUUGCCUUUUAUAUUUAUAAUCCUGCUUUUAGGAGCAAAGUAUUUGAUUUAUUGCAUGAAAGUAUUUUACAGCUUUAAGCGCUGGUGCUCCUUGGAAUAAGGAACAUCACAGCCUGCUUAAUUUACACAAGGGAUGUUAGGACUAUUUAAUGGCAUGUAAACAUUUUAUAAGGCAAGUUCAAAUUGCAGGCGAUAUUUAAUAUACUUUAGCAAAAUGGACCACAAAUGGAUUCUAGUUCUUAUUUAUUGGCCCGAUCUUUCUUAUGGCAUCAAAAGUGAAUCGAGUUUUAAAAGGUGUUAAGAGUUUUCAGUACAGUUCGUGACACUGGGCACAAUCGGGCCCAGAUGCUAAGGUGGCGGACCAUUCUGGGAGGGCAUGUGACCUGAGCUGGUGCAGCCCGGGGCUCGGGCUCCGGAGGAAGGGGGCCUGGAUCCGUCAGCAGCCAGCAGCCCCCUGGCGUGGAGACUCCACUGACGACGAUGCAGCCACCCCACAGAAGAGCAGCGCUCCCAGAAGAGAGGGGUGUCACCGAGGAAGACCCCGUUCAGCGCCCGGAUUCAGUUACACUCCACCCUACCUUUACUCCCUUUCCCAGAGCCACUAAAUUGCAUUUUUGACUUUUUAAAAUUCAUGUUUAAUUCAGGACAUGUCAAGUAUCCUGCAGAAUGUUAGAACUAUCCCUCGGCUUGCAGUUGGGAAAAAGGAUGGGAGAACUAGUUUCACAUCUCUUGGGUUUAAUCAAAUCAGGGCCUUAUUCUAGGAGAGGCUGAA